GGGUUGUGAGGUUAAGCGACUAAGCGUACACGGUGGAUGCCCUGGCAGUCAGAGGCGAUGAAGGACGUGCUAAUCUGCGAAAAGCGCCGGCGAGGUGAUAUGAACCCUUGACCCGGCGAUGUCCGAAUGGGGAAACCCAGUGUGAUUCGUCACACUAUCGUUAACUGAAUACAUAGGUUAACGAGGCGAACCGGGGGAACUGAAACAUCUAAGUACCCCGAGGAAAAGAAAUCAACCGAGAUUCCCCCAGUAGCGGCGAGCGAACGGGGAGCAGCCCGGAGUCUGAAUCAGCUUGUGUGUUAGUGGAACGGUCUGGAAAGUCCGACGGUACAGGGUGAUAGUCCCGUACACGAAAGCACACUUGCUGUGAACUCGAAGAGUAGGGCGGGACACGUGGUAUCCUGUCUGAAUAUGGGGGGACCAUCCUCCAAGGCUAAAUACUCCUGACUGACCGAUAGUGAACCAGUACCGUGAGGGAAAGGCGAAAAGAACCCCGGCGAGGGGAGUGAAAAAGAACCUGAAACCGUGUACGUACAAGCAGUGGGAGCACCUUCGUGGUGUGACUGCGUACCUUUUGUAUAAUGGGUCAGCGACUUAUAUUCUGUAGCAAGGUUAACCGUAUAGGGGAGCCGAAGGGAAACCGAGUCUUAACUGGGCGUUAAGUUGCAGGGUAUAGACCCGAAACCCGGUGAUCUAGCCAUGGGCAGGUUGAAGGUUGGGUAACACUAACUGGAGGACCGAACCGACUAAUGUUGAAAAAUUAGCGGAUGACCUGUGGCUGGGGGUGAAAGGCCAAUCAAACCGGGAGAUAGCUGGUUCUCCCCGAAAGCUAUUUAGGUAGCGCCUCGUGAACUCAUCUUCGGGGGUAGAGCACUGUUUCGGCUAGGGGGCCAUCCCGGCUUACCAACCCGAUGCAAACUACGAAUACCGAAGAAUGUUAUCACGGGAGACACACGGCGGGUGCUAACGUCCGUCGUGAAGAGGGAAACAACCCAGACCGCCAGCUAAGGUCCCAAAGUCAUGGUUAAGUGGGAAACGAUGUGGGAAGGCACAGACAGCCAGGAUGUUGGCUUAGAAGCAGCCAUCAUUUAAAGAAAGCGUAAUAGCUCACUGGUCGAGUCGGCCUGCGCGGAAGAUGUAACGGGGCUAAACCAUGCACCGAAGCUGCGGCAGCGACACUAUGUGUUGUUGGGUAGGGGAGCGUUCUGUAAGCCGUUGAAGGUGUGCUGUGAGGCAUGCUGGAGGUAUCAGAAGUGCGAAUGCUGACAUAAGUAACGAUAAAGCGGGUGAAAAGCCCGCUCGCCGGAAGACCAAGGGUUCCUGUCCAACGUUAAUCGGGGCAGGGUGAGUCGACCCCUAAGGCGAGGCCGAAAGGCGUAGUCGAUGGGAAACAGGUUAAUAUUCCUGUACUUGGUGUUACUGCGAAGGGGGGACGGAGAAGGCUAUGUCAGCCGGGCGACGGUUGUCCCGGUUUAAGCAUGUAGGCGGAGGUUCCAGGUAAAUCCGGUACCUUAUUAACGCUGAGGUGUGAUGACGAGGCACUACGGUGCUGAAGUGAUAAAUGCCCUGCUUCCAGGAAAAGCCUCUAAGCAUCAGGUAACACGAAAUCGUACCCCAAACCGACACAGGUGGUCAGGUAGAGAAUACCAAGGCGCUUGAGAGAACUCGGGUGAAGGAACUAGGCAAAAUGGUGCCGUAACUUCGGGAGAAGGCACGCUGAUGUGUAGGUGAAGUCCCUGCGGACGGAGCUGAAAUCAGUCGAAGAUACCAGCUGGCUGCAACUGUUUAUUAAAAACACAGCACUGUGCAAACACGAAAGUGGACGUAUACGGUGUGACGCCUGCCCGGUGCCGGAAGGUUAAUUGAUGGGGUUAGCUGUAAGGCGAAGCUCUUGAUCGAAGCCCCGGUAAACGGCGGCCGUAACUAUAACGGUCCUAAGGUAGCGAAAUUCCUUGUCGGGUAAGUUCCGACCUGCACGAAUGGCGUAAUGAUGGCCAGGCUGUCUCCACCCGAGACUCAGUGAAAUUGAACUCGCUGUGAAGAUGCAGUGUACCCGCGGCAAGACGGAAAGACCCCGUGAACCUUUACUAUAGCUUGACACUGAACACUGGUCCUUGAUGUGUAGGAUAGGUGGGAGGCUUUGAAGCGUGGACGCCAGUCUGCGUGGAGCCGCCCUUGAAAUACCACCCUUUAAUGGCUGGUGUUCUAACGUAGACCCGUAAUCCGGGUUGCGGACAGUGUCUGGUGGGUAGUUUGACUGGGGCGGUCUCCUCCCAAAGAGUAACGGAGGAGCACGAAGGUUGGCUAAUCCUGGUCGGACAUCAGGAGGUUAGUGCAAUGGCAUAAGCCAGCUUGACUGCGAGCGUGACGGCGCGAGCAGGUGCGAAAGCAGGUCAUAGUGAUCCGGUGGUUCUGAAUGGAAGGGCCAUCGCUCAACGGAUAAAAGGUACUCCGGGGAUAACAGGCUGAUACCGCCCAAGAGUUCAUAUCGACGGCGGUGUUUGGCACCUCGAUGUCGGCUCAUCACAUCCUGGGGCUGAAGUAGGUCCCAAGGGUAUGGCUGUUCGCCAUUUAAAGUGGUACGCGAGCUGGGUUUAGAACGUCGUGAGACAGUUCGGUCCCUAUCUGCCGUGGGCGCUGGAGAAUUGAGGGGGGCUGCUCCUAGUACGAGAGGACCGGAGUGGACGCAUCACUGGUGUUCGGGUUGUCAUGCCAAUGGCACUGCCCGGUAGCUAAAUGCGGAAGAGAUAAGUGCUGAAAGCAUCUAAGCACGAAACUUGCCCCGAGAUGAGUUCUCCCUGAGACUUUAAGUCUCCUGAAGGAACGUUGAAGACGACGACGUUGAUAGGUCGGGUGUGUAAGCGCAGCGAUGCGUUGAGCUAACCGAUACUAAUGAACCGUGAGGCUUAACCUUACAACGCCGAAG
rnacentral:rRNA from 5 species